AACAGAUAUACUUUCAGGUACAGUAACCUUUCCGAGUGCGGCCCUUCGAGAAGAGAGGAGAGAUGGCGAAGGAGGAGAUCAAAGAACCAUGCAAGAAGCAAGCCUGUGACAUCCAAGCUUGCCUCACCAAGAACAAUUUCAACUCUCAGAGGUGUCAGAGAGUCAUUGAACUGCUGGAAUCAUGUUGCGAGAAAUGUGAGUAUAAGUCUACGCAUUGUGCUUCUGUAUCUGGACUUCUGAAGCAAAUCAAGAAAAAUACCAAGGAGCAGAAACCUCAAGUGUAAGUCAGCAAACCUGCUACCUUGGUGUAGCUUUGGUAUUUAAGAACUAGCUAAAAGAGUAGAUACAUGAUCUGCUUCUUCAUGAGUUUAGUUUGCUAGCUCAAAACUGGAUAAAGUUGAUGAGAAUUGACUUUUGGAGAAUUUUUGUAUCCUUAUAGAUGUAUCAGAUUCCUUCCGUGUUUUGUCGUAACCUAGAAAACUGCACAUAUCGUAGCUUCUCCCGAUUCCCACCCACACCCACACCCCAAACCCAAUCUUGGAUUGGUUGAAAUACUGUAAUAACUAUAGCUGAAUUGGGGAAGUAGAGGAACAGGUUUCUGCUUUAUGAUUUUCUGUGAUGAAUGAAAAAAGAACCAUAAAAAAAGUGAAAUUCAGAAUA